rnacentral:tRNA from 1 species
GGAGAGGUGGCUCAGUGGUUAAGAGCAGUGAUUGUUCUUCUAAAAGUCCUGAGUUCAAUUCCCAGCAACCACA